GAGUGUCUAGAAAUGCAUAUGUGACAGACAGAGCUGUGGGUGGUGGUUUGUCCCUCAUGGUGUUCCAUAGUUUAACAUUCAUGGCCAGCACCUGUCUGUUGAGCUGUGAUUGGCUCACAAGGCUGAUAAAUAGCAGCAGUGGGAGUUCCAUCUAGAUGCUGGUUUCCUGGUUUGGCCUUGGUGGUGGCAUGAGUUCUGACCCUGGGGCAUGAGAGUAUCUUGGUGUCUGGACCUGGCUGAAGGUGGCUGCCUCCUCCUUUUAUCCUUAUGGUAGCUGGUGGGUGCCAUAUAUAGUAUUGUGUAAGGGGGACCCCCCUGUUUUCAGCCCAUAAAUUAGUGGUGACCUGCUCAGGUGCACCUCUC